AUACGAAGGGGGCUAGCGUUGUUCGGAAUUACUGGGCGUAAAGCGCGCGUAGGCGGAUUGGUCAGUUAGGGGUGAAAUCCCAGGGCUUAACCCUGGAACUGCCUCUAAUACUGCCAGUCUUGAGUUCGGGAGAGGUGAGUGGAAUUCCUAGUGUAGAGGUGAAAUUCGUAGAUAUUAGGAAGAACACCAGUGGCGAAGGCGGCUCACUGGCCCGAUACUGACGCUGAGGCGCGAAAGCGUGGGGAGCGAACAGGAUUAGAAACCCUAGUAGUCC
rnacentral:rRNA from 1 species